AUUGAACGCUGGCGGCAGGCCUAACACAUGCAAGUCGAACGAGUGGCGGACGGGUGAGUAAUGUCUGGGAAACUGCCCGAUGGAGGGGGAUAACUACUGGAAACGGUAGCUAAUACCGCAUACCAUCAGAUGUGCCCAGAUGGGAUUAGCUAGUUGGGGGGGUAACGGCUCACCAAGGCGACGAUCCCUAGCUGGUCUGAGAGGAUGACCAGCCACACUGGAACUGAGACACGGUCCAGACUCCUACGAGAGGCAGCAGUGGGGAAUAUUGAACAAUGGGCGCAAGCCUGAUGCAGCCAUGCCGCGUGUAUGAAGAAGGCCCUAGGGUUGUAAAGUACUUUCAGUGGGGAGGCGUUACCGACAGAAGAAGCACCGGCUAACUCCGUGCCAGCAGCCGCGGUAAUAC
rnacentral:rRNA from 1 species